rnacentral:rRNA from 1 species
UACGUAGGGGGCGAGCGUUGUCCGGAUUUAUUGGGCGUAAAGAGCUCGUAGGCGGUUGAGUAAGUCGGGUGUGAAAACUCUGGGCUUAACCCAGAGCCGCCACUCGAUACUGCUCUGACUUGAGUUCGGUAGGGGAGCAGGGAAUUCCUGGUGUAGCGGUGGAAUGCGCAGAUAUCAGGAGGAACACCGAUGGCGAAGGCAGGUCUCUGGGCCAUUACUGACACUGAGAAGCGAAAGCAUGGGGAGCGAACAGG